GAUGAACGCUGGCGGCGUGCCUAAUACAUGCAAGUCGAGCGAACAGACGAGGAGCUUGCUCCUCUGACGUUAGCGGCGGACGGGUGAGUAACACGUGGAUAACCUACCUAUAAGACUGGGAUAACUUCGGGAAACCGGAGCUAAUACCGGAUAACAUGUUGAACCGCAUGGUUCAACAGUGAAAGACGGUCUUGCUGUCACUUAUAGAUGGAUCCGCGCCGCAUUAGCUAGUUGGUAAGGUCACGGCUUACCAAGGCAAAGAUGCGUAGCCGACCUGAGAGGGUGAUCGGCCACACUGGAACUGAGACACGGUCCAGACUCCUACGGGAAGCAGCAGUAGGGAAUCGUCCGCAAUGGGCGAAAGCCUGACGGAGCAGCGCCGCGUGAGUGAAGAAGGUCUUCGGAUCGUAAAACUCUGUUAUUGGGGAAGAACAAAUGUGUAAGUAACUAUGCACGUCUUGACGGUACCUAAUAAGAAAGCCACGGCUAACUACGUG
rnacentral:rRNA from 1 species